rnacentral:rRNA from 1 species
AAUUGGACUCAACGCCGGGCAGCUCACCGGAUAAGACAGCUGGAUGAGUAGCCGGGCUGAAGACUCUGCUUGACUAGCUGAGAGGAGGUGCAUGGCCGUCGUCAGUUCGUACUGUGAAGCAUCCUGUUAAGUCAGGCAACGAGCGAGACCCACGCCAACAGUUGCCAGCAUGUCCUCCGGGAUGAUGGGGGACACUGUUGGGACCGCCUCUGCUAAAGAGGAGGAAGGAAUGGGCAACGGUAGGUCAGCAUGCCCCGAAUUAUCCGGGCUACACGCGGGCUACAAUGGUCAGGACAAUGGGUAUCGACACCGAGAGGUGGAGGCAAUCUCCUAAACCUGUCCUUAGUUCGGAUUGUGGGCUGCAACUCGCCCACAUGAAGCUGGAAUCCGUAGUAAUCGCGUUUCAAAAUAGCGCGGUGAAUAUGUCCCUGCUCCUU